CUUCAGCUGUUCACAAACAUGAAAGGAAACAGAAAGGGAAGGAAUACAGGAUCAUGCUUGCAAUGUGCACUCAGAUAUGCAACUAGCUUUGUCAAGUCCUG